GGUCCAGGCAUGAGAAACUAAGGCCUCCAGCCAACAGCCAGCAUUAACCUGCCAACCAAGUGAGGAGCCACCUUGGAAUCAGGUCUCCAGCAGCCCCAGUCAUGACAGAGCCUAAGCCAGAACCACCUAGCUAAGCUGCUUCCAAAUUCCUGACCCACCGAAACGGUGACAAGUGAGGCAGAGCCGAAUGGGAAACUACUUGUGGAUGAAAAUGAAUCUCAGAUUACAGUCAUGUAGAGCAAGGCUCCUGCUGGCCCAUAGCUUCACAGAACUCAGCAGCCCCUGCUCUGGGCAACAGGACGGAUCUACACAGGUGUGGCUGGACUACACAGAAAUCCCGGAGUGUGACCUCCAAUGUCUUGAAUUCCUGCUUCCAGUUGAAGAACAAAGACACAGCCCUGCUGGGAAUGUAGGUUCCUGAUGACUCCUGCAUGUGGAUCCUGCUUGCGUCUUCUGCGGUCUCAUCCUGCGAAGCCACAGCUC